GGGGGCGACAGGCCUCGACGGUGGUCAUGAGGUCUAAGUUGCAUGUCGUGGCUCUGCCACCACGUAAAAAGGCAGAAAAAAACACAAAAGCCAACACAGAACUGGCACUUGCUGCUUAAUUAAGCGGCACGUUUCUCCGGGAAUGUCUGUUACCUGGAAGAGACGUCAGAAAGCAGGCUGGUCUGAAGAAUUUGCCCUUGUUCUUCAGGCGAGACAAAAAGGGCUAAGAUUCAGAAACGCCUUCUUGCCGGCAGUUCUGAAUCCGAAAUUAAAUAAGCAAGAUAAACAUGUAGAUGCUUGGAUGUAGUGCUUCCGGACCCGGGUUCGAUUCCCGGCGCCUCCACCA
rnacentral:tmRNA from 1 species